AUUGAACGCUGGCGGCAUGCCUAACACAUGCAAGUCGAACGAGUGGCGGACGUGUGAGUAAUGUCUGGGACACUGCCUGAUGUAGGGGGAUAACUACUGGAAACGGUAGCUAAUACCGCAUACCAUCAGAUGUGCCCAGAUGGGAGUGGCUAGUUGGUGGGGUAACGGCUCACCAAGGCGACGCUCCCUAGCUGGUCUGAGAGGAUGACCAGCAACACUGGAACUGCGACACGGUCCAGACUCCUACGGGAGGCAGCAGUGGGGAAUAUUGCACAAUGGGCGCAAGCGUGAUGCAGCCAUGCCGCGUGUAUGAAGAAGGCCUUCGGGUUGUAAAGUACUUUCAGCGGGGAGGCGUUACCCGCAGAAGAAGCACCGGCUAACUCCGUGCCAGCAGCCUCGUUAAUAC
rnacentral:rRNA from 1 species